rnacentral:rRNA from 1 species
UGGGGAAUAUUGCACAAUGGGCGCAAGCCUGAUGCAGCCAUGCCGCGUGUAUGAAGAAGGCCUUCGGGUUGUAAAGUACUUUCAGCGGGGAGGAAGGCGAUAAGGUUAAUAACCUUGUCGAUUGACGUUACCCGCAGAAGAAGCACCGGCUAACACCGUGCCAGCAGCCGCGGUAAUACGGAGGGUGCAAGCGUUAAUCGGAAUUACUGGGCGUAAAGCGCACGCAGGCGGUCUGUCAAGUCGGAUGUGAAAUCCCCGGGCUCAACCUGGGAACUGCAUUCGAAACUGGCAGGCUAGAGUCUUGUAGAGGGGGGUAGAAUUCCAGGUGUAGCGGUGAAAUGCGUAGAGAUCUGGAGGAAUACCGGUGGCGAAGGCGGCCCCCUGGACAAAGACUGACGCUCAGGUGCGAAAGCGUGGGGAGCAAACA